ensembl:lncRNA
AUGUUAUAUCUACAUAGAGGAGGGGGGAUAAGAAUGUUCUAUCUACAUAGAGGAGGGGGGAUAAGGAUGUUCUAUCUACAUAGAGGAGGGGGGAUAAGGAUGUUCUAUCUACGUAGAGGAGGGGUGUUAAGGAUGUUCUAUCUACAUAGAGGAGGGGAGAUAAGGAUGUUCUAUCUACAUAGUGGAGGGGAGAUAAGGAUGUUCUAUCUACAUAGUGGAGGGGAGAUAUGGAUGUUCUAUCUACAUAGUGGAGGGGGGAUAAGGAUGUUCUAUCUACAUAGUGGAGGGGAGAUAUGGAUGUUCUAUCUACAUAGUGGAGGGGGGAUAAGGAUGUUCUAUCUACAUAGUGGAGGGGAGAUAUGGAUGUUCUAUCUACAUAGUGGAGGGGGGAUAAGGAUGUUCUAUCUACAUAGUGGAGGGGAGAUAUGGAUGUUCUAUCUACAUAGUGGAGGGGGGAUAAGGAUGUUCUAUCUACAUAGUGGAGGGGAGAUAUGGAUGUUCUAUCUACAUAGUGGAGGGGGGAUAAGGAUGUUCUAUCUACAUAGUGGAGGGGAGAUAUGGAUGUUCUAUCUACAUAGUGGAGGGGAGAUAUGGAUGUUCUAUCUACAUAGUGGAGGGGAGAUAUGGAUGUUCUAUCUACAUAGUGGAGGGGAGAUAUGGAUGUUCUAUCUACAUAGUGGAGGGGAGAUAUGGAUGUUCUAUCUACAUAGUGGAGGGGGGAUAAGGAUGUUCUAUCUACAUGGAGGAGGGGGGAUAAGGAUGUUCUAUCUACAUAGUGGAGGGGUGUUAAGGAUGUUCUAUCUACAUAGAGGAGGGGGGAUAAGAAUGUUCUAUCUACUUAGAGGAGGGGAGAUAAGGAUGUUCUAUCUACAUAGUGGAGGGGUGUUAAGGAUGUUCUAUCUACAUAGAGGAGGGGGGAUAAGAAUGUUCUAUCUACUUAGAGGAGGGGAGAUAAGGAUGUUCUAUCUACAUAGAGGAGGGGGAUAAGGAUGUUCUAAUUACAUAGUGGAGGGGGAUAAGGAUGUUCUAUCUACAUAGUGGAGGGGUGUUAAGGAUGUUCUAUCUACACAGAGGAGGGGGAUAAUGAUGUUCUAUCUACAUAGAGGAGGGGGAUAAGGAUGUUCUAAUAACAUAGUUGAGUGGUGUUAAGAAUGUUCUAUCUACAUAGAGGAGAGGGAUAAGGAUGUUCUAUCUACAUAGUGGAGGGGAGAUAAUUAUUUUCUAUAUACAUAGUGGAGGGGAGAUAAGGAUGUUCUAUCUACAUAGUGGAGGGGAGAUAAGGAUGUUCUAUCUACAUAGUGGAGGGGGGAUAAGGAUGUUCUAAUUACAUAGUGGAGGUGGGAUAAGGAUGUUCUAUCUACAUAGUGGAGGGGUGUUAAGGAUGUUCUAUCUACAUAGAGGAGGGGAGAUAAGGAUGUUCUAUCUACAUAGAGGAGGGGAGAUAAGGAUGUUCUAUCUACAUAGAGGAGGGGAGAUAAGGAUGUUCUAUCUACAUAGGGGAGGGGGGAUAAGGAAGUUCUAUCUACAUAGAGGGGGGGAUAAGAAUGUUCUAUCUACAUAGUGGAGGGGAGAUAAGGAUGUUCUAUCUACAUAGAGGAGGGGAGAUAAGGAUGUUCUAUCUACGUAGAGGAGGGGGAAUAAGAAUGUUCUAUCUACAUAGUGGAGGGGAGAUAAUUAUGUUCUAUAUACAUAGAGGACGGGAGAUAAGGAUGUUCUAUCUACAUAGAGGAGGGGAGGGGGGAUAAGAAUGUUCUAUCUACAUAGUGGAGGGGAGGGGGGAUACGAAUGUUCUAUCUACAUAGAGGAGGGGAGGGGGGAUAAGAAUGUUCUAUCUACAUAGAGGAGGAGAGAUAAGGAUGUUCUAUCUACAUAGAGGAGGGGAGGGGGGAUAAGAAUGUUCUAUCUACAUAGAGGAGGAGAGAUAAGGAUGUUCUAUCUACAUAGAGGAGGGGUGUGAAGGAUGUUCUAUCUACAUAGAGGAGGGGAGAUAAGGAUGUUCUAUCUACGUAGAGGAGGGGGAAUAAGAAUGUUCUAUCUACAUAGUGGAGGGGAGAUAAUUAUGUUCUAUAUACAUAGUGGAGGGGAGAUAAGGAUGUUCUAUCUACAUAGAGGAGGGGGGAUAAGAAUGUUCUAUCUACAUGGAGGAGGGGAGGGGGGAUAAGAAUGUUCUAUCUACAUAGAGGACGGGAGAUAAGGAUGUUCUAUCUACAUAGAGGAGGGGGGAUAAGGAUGUUCUAUCUACAUAGAGGAGGGGGGAUAAGGAUGUUCUAUCUACAUAGAGGAGGGGGGAUAAGAAUGUUCUAUCUACAUAGAGGAGGGGGGAUAAGGAUGUUCUAUCUACAUAGAGGAGGGGGAUAAGGAUGUUCUAUCUACAUAGAGGAGGGGGGAUAAGGAUGUUCUAUCUACAUAGAGGAGGGGGGAUAAGAAUGUUCUAUCUACAUAGAGGAGGGGGGAUAAGGAUGUUCUAAUUACAUAGGGGAGGGGGGAUAAGGAUGUUCUAAUUACAUAGGGGAGGGGGGAUAAGGAUGUUCUAUCUACAUAGGGGAGGGGGGAUAAGGAUGUUCUAUCUACAUAGUGGAGGGGAGAUAAUUAUGUUCUAUAUACAUAGAGGAGGGGAGAUAAGGAUGUUCUAUCUACAUAGAGGGGGGGAUAUGAAUGUUCUAUCUACAUAGAGGACGGGAGAUAAGGAUGUUCUAUCUACAUAGAGGAGGGGAGGGGGGAUAAGGAUGUUCUAAUUACAUAGGGGAGGGGGGAUAAGGAUGUUCUAUCUACAUAGUGGAGGGGAGAUAAUUAUGUUCUAUAUACAUAGAACAUCCUUAUCUCCCCUCCUCUAUGUAUAUAGAACAUAAUUAUCUCCCCCUCUAUGUAGAUAGAACAUCCUUAUCCCCCCUCCCCUCCUCCAUGUAGAUAGAACAUCCUUAUCUCCCGUCCUCUAUGUAGAUAGAACAUUCUAAUCCCCCCCUCUAUGUAGAUAGAACAUCCUUAUCUCCCCUCCUCUAUCUACAUAGUGGAGGGGAGAUCAGGAUGUUCUAUCUACAUAGUGGAGGGGAGAUCAGGAUGUUCUAUCUACAUAGUGGAGGGGAGAUCAGGAUGUUCUAUCUACAUAGUGGAGGGGAGAUCAGGAUGUUCUAUCUACAUAGUGGAGGGGAUAAAGUUGUUAUAUCUGCAUAGAGGAAAUGGGGAGGGAUUAAAGUUGUUAUAUCUGCAUAGAGGGGGAGGGGAUAUUGGUCUGCAGUGUUUGUUCUGCUAUAUGCAUCUAACGCUCUGUGUUGGUCUAUGGUUCUACAGUGUCUUACUGGUCUAGUGUGUUCAUGAUCAGUACAGACUUGGUUAGAGAACGGGGAGGAUCUGUAACUGAGUGUUGGGGUUAGAGAACAGAGAGGGUCUGUAACUGGGUGUUGGGGUUAGAGAACAGAGAGGGUCUGUAACUGGGUGUUGGGGUUAGAGAACAGAGAGGGUCUGUAACUUGAGUGUUGGGGUUAGAGAACGGAGAGGGUCUGUAACUGAGUGUUGGGGUUAGAGAACAGAGAGGGUCUGUAACUGAGUGUUGGGGUUAGAGAACGGAGAGGGUCUGUAACUGAGUGUUGGGGUUAGAGAACGGAGAGGGUCUGUAACUGAGUGUUGGGGUUAGAGAACAGAGAGGGUCUGUAACUGAGUGUUGGGGUUAGAGAACGGAGAGGGUCUGUAACUGAGUGUUGGGGUUAGAGAACGGAGAGGGUCUGUAACUGAGUGUUGGGGUUAGAGAACGGAGAGGGUCUGUAACUGAGUGUUGGGGUUAGAGAACAGAGAGGGUCUGUAACUGGGUGUUGGGGUUAGAGAACGGAGAGGGUCUGUAACUGAGUGUUGGGGUUAGAGAACGGAGAGGGUCUGUAACUGAGUGUUGGGGUUAGAGAACAGAGAGGGUCUGUAACUGAGUGUUGGGGUUAGAGAACAGAGAGGGUCUGUAACUGAGUGUUGGGGUUAGAGAACGGGGAGGGUCUGUAACUGAGUGUUGGGGUUAGAGAACAGAGAGGGUCUGUAACUGAGUGUUGGGGUUAGAGAACAGAGAGGGUCUGUAACUGAGUGUUGGGGUUAGAGAACGGGGAGGAUCUGUAACUGAGUGUUGGGGUUAGAGAACGGGGAGGGUCUGUAACUGAGUCUUGGGGUUAGAGAACGGGGAGGGUCUGUAACUGAGUGUUGGGGUUAGAGAACAGAGAGGGUCUGUAACUGAGUGUUGGGGUUAGAGAACGGAGAGGGUCUGUAACUGAGUGUUGGGGUUAGAGAACAGAGAGGGUCUGUAACUGAGUGUUGGGGUUAGAGAACGGGGAGGAUCUGUAACUGAGUGUUGGGGUUAGAGAACAGAGAGGGUCUGUAACUGAGUGUUGGGGUUAGAGAACAGAGAGGGUCUGUAACUGAGUGUUGGGGUUAGAGAACAGAGAGGGUCUGUAACUGAGUGUUGGGGUUAGAGAACGGAGAGGGUCUGUAACUGAGUGUUGGGGUUAGAGAACAGAGAGGGUCUGUAACUGGGUGUUGGGGUUAGAGAACAGAGAGGGUCUGUAACUGAGUGUUGGGGUUAGAGAACGGAGAGGGUCUGUAACUGAGUGUUGGGGUUAGAGAACGGAGAGGGUCUGUAACUGAGUGUUGGGGUUAGAGAACAGAGAGGGUCUGUAACUGAGUGUUGGGGUUAGAGAACAGAGAGGGUCUGUAACUGAGUGUUGAGGUUAGAGAACAGGGAGGGUCUGUAACUGGGUGUUGGGGUUAGAGAACAGAGAGGGUCUGUAACUGAGUGUUGAGGUUAGAGAACAGGGAGGGUCUGUAACUGAGUGUUGGGGUUAGAGAACAGAGAGGGUCUGUAACUGAGUGUUGGGGUUAGAGAACAGAGAGGGUCUGUAACUGAGUGUUGGGGUAUGGAGGGUUAUGUGAUAUCUGACUGAGCUGCUGUUUGUCUCUGUCUGUCUCAGGUGGUGAUGAUGCUUGUUGCCAUUAAAGUGCCUUAAUGACUAUUCUGCCUCCUGUGGAUGUUUCCAGUGUUCUGUCUCCUCACUACAGUCCUGACAAAUUAGCAUUGUACCAGAAUGCCCAAACAGCACAACCCGUCAUUCUGUUACCUAACUUUGCAUCUCCACUGUUCUUCAAGUAAAUAUGUUUUUGUGAACUGUUCAGUGGAAAGUGUUCAAAGUAGUCCUUGUGCAAACAGUUGUAUGGUUUGUUUAAUUUUGAAAUGAUUGAUUUAAAGUGAAAAAU